rnacentral:lncRNA from 1 species
GAAAAAUUGAGAGAUUGAUGUGACAUACAUUUGAUUUUCAAUUGGAAUGAAACAGUUCAAUGGAGAAUAGUUGAAGAAAGUCUAUCAUUAUGAGUAAAUGAAAUAAGAUAUGAUUGCAAUGUAAUCAGAAUGGAAAAUUAAUUAUGAGUAAAUGAAAUAAGAUAUGAUUGCAAUAGAAUCAGAAUGGAAAAUUGGUUGGGAAAGUUGUAAUUGGAUAAUGAAAGCCUAAAAUAGACAAAUGGCAACCAAUAAACCAGGGGCAGAGUUAUAUUUUUCACCUCCAUUAUUUUUCUUAUAUUAUAAAUAAACCUUCAAGAUUAAAAAAAAAUCGUUAAAAAGAUUAAAUUGUUAAAAUCAAAAAAAUAAUAAAGUUUAUUGUAAACAUUCAUCAAAAUUUUCUCACCUAAAACAUUUUAAAUUAAAAGAUAAUAUAACAUACCAAAUUGAUUAAUCUAUUUCGAGGAACUAAAACGUAAAUCUUUAACUUACCAAAAUAUGAUUAAGCUAACAAUUUACUAUUACUAGAUUAUGUUCUUCAAGACUAGCACCUACUUCAAAUAGUGUCUACAAGCCUCUUUAGCCUUCUAAAGUCUUGCCCUUGUCAUGGAGUUCUAAGACUUCCUUUCUUUGUUAUGCCUCUUCAUGUCCUCGUCAAAACUUGAGACCUUGUAAUAACAGGCAAAACAGCCUAGACUCGCUUCACUUCUAAACCUCAAGACUAGGAGAGCAUCUAGCAAAUCUAUCUAUAUUACAUUUUAUCCAACUACAGAGAGGAGGGAUCAGGUCAACUUGAAUUAUAUAAAGAGCUUUGUUAAUAUAUCCCGGUACCGAAGAGCUUUAAAAUGAAUAAGUAUUUGACAUAGGNNN